CUUCGGUGUUGACAUGAAUAUCAAUUAUAUGGUCAUUUUUAUAAAUUUUCUGUUUACAAAACUUUGAAUUUUUCGAAAAACUAAGGAUUUUCUUACUCCAGGAGUAGAUUACCUUAGCCGUAUUUGGCACAACUUUUUGGAAUUUUGGGUCCUCAAUGCUCUUCAACUUUGUAUUUGUUUGUCUUUUUAACUAUUUUGAUCUGAACGUCAUUGAUGAGUCUUAUGUAGACGAAACGCGCGUCUGGCGUAUAAAAUUAUAAUCCUGGUACUUUUGAUAACUAU
rnacentral:lncRNA from 1 species